UGUCAGAGGCCAGAUUUGAACUCAAGAAAAGGAUUCUUCCUGAAUUCAGGCAGUGCCAUCUAGCUGCCUGAUUUACCUGAAGGGUGUGAGGCUUGGAUCAAAAUGAGCCAGCAUUUGUCAUUCUUAGUAAAACCCACAGUUUUGCUUCUCUAAUGUGAACAUGAAGGAUAGAAUGAUGUAUUUUGGAUGUAUCUGCAAUAUUAAUAUUAAUUAUCCAACUUAUGUCCCUCCCACAUUCCCCCAAAUCCCUGUCAGGAUUAUUCUCAGCUCUCUGCCCUGCCUUUGUUGGGAAAAUCUAAUGUGUGAAUAAUGUGGAGCCCCAGAUGAGUUAGGAAGUGGGGGUCGAGAUGGGGGCAACAGAGCUCAGUCCUGACAAGACAGCAGUCACUGCUGUGACCCUAUGCUAAAGCAACCAAAUUUCACCAGGAGGUUUUUGUUCAGGGCUGGAUCACUGUGACAGGCCAGCUGUAAUGAUGGUGAUAGUAAUGCAGUCCAGCAUCUUCAGUCUCUACAGUGAUGAGUGUGAGAGUAUGUCUGUCCCAGACCCACUGCCACUGAACCGGGCAGGAACUCCAGAAUGCAGGAUGGUAGCAGCAAAGAUCAGGAGCUUGGGAGACUGUCUUGGUGGCUGAUGGUACCAGGCUAAAUUAUUGCUUGUCAAUAUUCACUUGUCAGGUUAUUCAGAAAUACCUUGUUUUCCAGGGCUAAGGCCAAGUAAGCAAGCUGUGUCCUGAGCUUGGCAUAGCAGUGAUCUUCUGUCCUCACCAUCUGGGUGAUAUCACCCUCUGGCAAAAUCAUAUAAUUGUGAUAUUGCUCUGACCAGGUAGUCUUUGAACUCAGAAAAGCACCAAUUACCCAUGUUCCGGUGAUGAAGUCCUGUUAUGAAUCAAACUUGUCCCAUUGUUGCUGUUACCUCUCUCAGACCUGAGCUCAAAUCCAAGUUCAGGCACUUGCUAGCUGUGGGACCCUAGGCAAGUCAUUUUACCCCAGUUUCCACGUCUAUAAAAUAGGGUCUUUAAGAGCACCUACUUCCCAAGGUUGGUGUGAGGACUAGACGAGGUAGUCCUUGUAAGUUACUUAGCCUUGCCUGGAAUACAGUGAGCUGCACGUAAACGUUAGCUCUGAGUUUUAUUGAGCCCAUCUACCAGAAGACUGGCAUUCCCCAGGCCCAGCCAAACGUUCUCAGCGUCUCCUGGUUUCCCUCAGGUCAGUCUCCUUGGCAGAGGAAACAGAGAUAAAGCGAGCACGGCCUGGCUCUGGCUGGCGGCCCCUUGACCUCGUCUGCUACCCAGGGCUCACUCCUGUCCUGCUCCUGUUGGAAGCCCCAGGGGGCUGAGCGAGUGCUCCCGGCAUCCUGCCCCAGCUCAUGGUCUCCCUCCUCAGACCGUGUCUUCCCUGCGUGUUUGCGUCGCUUCCUGCGCUCUACCUUCUGUGGCCUCUGCUCUGCCCCAGGAGGACAGCCUGAAGGAAGAGGGAAUGGCUGCUGCCCUGACAGCCAGGCCCAGGAAGGAAUCAGUGACGUUCAAGGAUGUGGCUGUGGAGUUCACCCAGGAAGAGUGGGUACAAUUGAACCCAUCUCAGAAAAAAUUGUACAGGGAUGUGAUGCUGGAGAACUAUAGGAACCUGGUGUCUUUGGGAUUUGCAGUUUCCAAACCAAAUGUGAUUGACCAGUUGGAAAGAAAGGAAGCAUCUUCCUUGCCAGAGGCAGAUAUUCCAAGAAACAGCAGUCCAGGUGACUACAUAAAGCCAAACAGAUGGGUCAUUGCAAAGUAGUAAUCUGUUGGUCAUUUUAGGUCAAAGCUCUUGAAAAACAUUGAACAAAGUGGUCUAUGAAAGCUUGCCUGAGAGGAG